rnacentral:lncRNA from 1 species
GCCCCCCCCCCCCCCCCGCCGCAGCGAUCACCAAAUACCGGGGCCAAAGAAGCGAAUGGGUUUUCCCGGAGUUGGGUUGCUUGGAAAUGCAGCCCAAAGCGGGUUGUCAAACUUUACUCCCCUUUGUUAAGUGAGAUUAGGAAAGCAAUGUUUUCUUUCCCUCCCGUAGUCGGCUUGAGUGCAAAUGGAGAUGCCUACUGGGGAUUUAACAACUUUGACAUCUCGCUUUGACUUUUCUCAAAGCCCUGUCCUCAUUAUUAAAUUGGUGUUAAUUGGCUUUGGAGGAUGGGAACCAAAUUUUCAGUCACAAAUUUUGACACCCCCGAGGGGACUUUUAAGGAGUCCCCACUCUGCUUUCUUGGGGAAGCUUAGCACUCGAAACAACUGCAAACAGAGGAUCAACUUUUUGGGAGCUGACUGCUGAAAAGUUAAGAGAUGUGGGAAAUGUCUGGUGCCUGGGGUUAGACCAAACUGGAGGGACUAAUCCUGUAAGUAAAAGGUGAGACUAAGGGACUCCCAGCAGCUGCCACAGCCAUUUUGCUUUGGGGAACUCCCUCUCCCUUACCUGCACUUUAAGGAUUACUCCACCUCUGUCUAAAAAAAAAAAAAAAAAAAGAAGGGACAAUGAAUGCAGUAAUGUGUUGAUAUUAUAGGUUAUUUCUUGGGGAUGAUCUUGGCUGAAUGUGUAUCUAAAAGAUGAUUGUUUUUUUAUUGUAACAAUCUGGUAUCUGAAUGGGUUUCUAAAGCAUUGCACUAUCUUGCAGUUAAAAGUUGGGUUUAAGCAAUUGUUUAGCUUGAUUUCAGAUAGUUCAUGCUAAAAAAAAAAACUUAAAUACUUAGGAUAAAAAAUUUUUUUCAAGAGUUUCAAUUUUGAACUGGGUAGCCUGAGAAGAUUUCACUAGGUAUUCCAGUGCAUUAACUUGGGCAAAGAUAAUAAAUUAUGAUAUGAUAUCUGUUCCCCUCAGUGUGUAAGGUUCAGGAGAAAAAAAAAGGUGCUAAAUUAAAACGUUGGUCUGGCUUAUUGAAAUGACAUUAAUUAGCAACAGUCUUGGAAAUUUUUAAAGCUUAAUUUCGGAUACACAUGGUAGUGUGUGGUUCUUUUUAAAAAUUUUCAGGUAAUUUAAUGUAACUUAAUACUACUUUAGAAACUUCAGAACAAAAAAAAAGUGGCUUAAUGAUCCUAAAAAAAAAAUUUCUUCUGAUGGUAACUUUUAUAUUAUCAAGAGAGAUCCUAUUUUCAGUUUUGUGUGAGCAAGUUUUUCUAAUGUAAAGAGAUAUAAAGAUAUAAAAUUUUGUAAAUUGUAUCUUAAACUUGCAUCAUAAUUUUCAACAUCCAAACCUGGAAAUUAUGACUUAUAGCUAAAAUGCCUUAGACAUGAGGUUUCUGCUCAGAAUUCCAGUUUUCCAGACCUCAGCCAGGACUUAAGUUGAUAUGCAAAUAAAAAAAGCCUGCAGCACUCAGCAGGAGACAGAUCUCAGACCAAAAAAAAAAAAGAAUAAAAGUGUCUUUUUACCUGAACUCAAACUAGACCCCAACCAAAAAGUAAAUUAUAUGAUAUUUACUAAUUACUGGCCAGUCAUCUUUUUUAGGACUCUUGCUUUUUCUUAGAUUCUGUAUUUUUUUGAGCUCAUGAUUUUGAUCCUGCAGAUGGGUUAAUGUUUUCUGAUCAGUUCUAUUUUUGAUCAACUGUGGAGUUUUUAAACAUUGCAAUAGAGAUUUCACCUAAAAAAAGCUACAAGGCCUUUACUAUUGUGUUAUGUGUUACACUUGUGUUACAUGUUGUAUGUCGGUAUGUCUAUAUGUGUGUAUGUCCAUAUAUCAUGCAGUGAUAUGACAAUUGACAGAUGAGGAGCGCUCAUAAAAAAAUUUAAAAAUAGAUCCAAAUAUCUUUAAUUCACGUGAUUCAAAUGGUUCAAUUUAAAUUGGGUAAACAGAUAAAAGUAAAGAUAUCUUUAAAAUUAAGCUUAUAAGUUUUUCUAGGUGUUCAAAAAGACCCUAAUAAAAUGUUGAUGUCUAUGAAAUAAUCUGCUUAAAUUCAGAAAUUUACAAGUAUUGUUUCAAAAUGUGAACAGAAAGAGGUUAACAGAUGGAAAAGAGAAACUAAAAGGUUCUAGAUAUAGAUUUAAUAGAGAAAAAAUGUGUUUCUGGAUAAAAGAGUCUAUAUGAUUAAGUAAUUAAGAGGGUUUAAAUAAGUGAUAAAAAAGGGUCUGUGUAAGUUGGCUAUGUGUGUAAGUUAUUGAGCAAGUAAUCUUAAAAAAAUUAAAAUUAUACAACUAUGGUUAAACAACAACUGUUAUUUUUCAAUACUUUUCUUGUGCUGUCUUACUCUGCAUAAUGAAGUACUUCCAAACCCAAUCGCAGAAAGUUUCUAAUCAAACUUUCAACCAGCUUCUGCUUAGGCAUUACCGGCCUCUGAUGACCGAUGAACCCCCAACAUCUUCAAGAGAACAGUUCACUCAGUGAUGAAGCUCACUACCAGGCACGAUGGAAUGCAACAGACAUCAGACAGCGGGAGACAACGAGCUCGGAGAACCUCUUAAUCUAUCAUCCUGGAUUCAUGAGUCUUUAUGUCCUUCUAAGCUUCCUCAUGGCCCUUGGCCUCUUUUCUGUCAGUCCCCCAGCAUGGAACUUCUGCCAAAAAUUGACCUUUGCUUUAAUCUUUAUCUUCAUUCUGUUUUUAUUCGCUCUGAUUUUCUUCAGGUGCUGGUGAUGCCAACAUGGCGCCUAAGGACUUCUUCUUCCUACCUCCUUCUUCUCUGCAGUGGCAUGAAAAGUUCCUGCCUGUGUGAACUCUCCCACUGGUGCCAAUCUCAAAUCUUGCUGGCAGAGAACCUUAGCCCCAGUGAGAACUAAUUCCUGGGCUCCGGAGCUGAUAUCUGGAAGAACUUACCAAUAAACGGGUUGCCUGCCAUUUAUCUAAGCACUACCAUCUCCCCCUUAGUUCUAUAUAAGCACACAGCUUUUUGCAAGGUUAAUUAUGAUACUAUUAAUAUAUGUUCAUAUUUUCCAGGUAUACAAGUCUGUAAGGUAGAAGCUUCAAAAGAGCAUUGUAUCAAGCUGGCGUUCUAAAGUUGUAUGGUAAUUUUAGGCUUUAAAAAAAUAUGUUAAAGACUUAUUUAUAUCAUUUGUGUUCUACAACUGGACAUGUUAUCAAUAAGAUAUAUACAGUUCCAUGUUACUUUUUACACUGAGAUACAAUUUAAAUGUAUUUUUAAGUUAAUGAGAGCCUAAUCUAUGUAAAGGUUUUAUUGUAAAACACAAAAAUACUUUGCUACUUUUCUACAAAAGGUUAAAAACUUUCAGCCUUUCUUUAAUUCAUGUUUUAGAUGUAAUAUUAUGUUGUGUUAGCUAAUAUCCAUGUAAACUUGAGCAACAAUUUAUAUAGGUUUUGUAAAAUGAUGUCUAAAAAGCAAAGAUCAGCUUCAGAACCAUAGUAUUUAAGAUUUAUGAAGAGCCCCGCCUUACUUGAGAUAAGGCUCUAUGUCCCAUCUCAUGUGAAAGAGACUAUGAAAAAAAUAGGCCAGAUUUCAGUACAUUUAAAGUUGUGUCCAAAAGUUGGUUUUUGCCAAGAUUACUAGGAUCUCAAACAGGGGAUUAUGAUGUAUAACCCUGCCAGAAUUCAAGGUAGCUAUUAUAUAAACUAAAUAUGUCUUUACCCUAGUUAAUUUUAGUUCGUACUUUGCUUAUAGAUGGUCUAAGGAUUGCCUGUUAAUGUUUUGCAGAGGUACUGCUUUAAGAACACACAACCUGGGUCAACUUAAGAUAAGGAGUUAUCACCUACAGGAUAGAGAGAUAGACAUUAAAGCCCAGUGCUCUUAAUAUAAGGCUGUUAACUUAUUUGCUGGAUGUUUAAGAUUCAGUUUUUAAAAUUAAAGUUAAAUUAAAAGGGCCAAGAAAACCAAUAUUUGGCUCUUGCCCUCUGAGUCAGUCUGAAUCAGGGAAUAGGGGACUUCUCCAGAGAGCUUUGCAACUCUGGGUCACAUAACCUCCCGAUCAGGGAGAUUAAUGAGACCAGUAGAGGACAGAAAGCCAAUCAGUGCAUUUGCUAUGAAGAGGAGGGUCAUCAGAAAAGGGAGAUAUCCCUGAUGCUUCCAAGGGAAGCCACAUGGUCAAGCAAGGCCCGGACCCAUCCUAACACAAAUGGCACUAGCAGAACUGAGAAGCUGCUGUAAGUUCCCCGAGGACUCCCAGGGAAACUCAGCUGACUGUUAACAACAGAUAGAAACAAAAGUCAGUUUGACUUGCUUCAUCUUAAACACUUAGCAAAGACAGUCAAAGCCAAAGCACAGCUGUUCCUGGACNAGAAGUAGGCCAGAUUUCAGUACAUUUAAAGUUGUGUC